GUGACAGCUCUGGAGGUUCAAGUCCUCUGUUUAUCCACAGAAAAGUGUGGUGUGGGCAGUGGCAGGACAAGCAUCCUCACACCAGUGUGCCUCCUCCAUGAGCUGGAGGAGCCACCUCUAGAGGUGAGAGGGAAGCUCAGGCUCCAUGCCCCAGCAUCCUCCCACACCU
rnacentral:sRNA from 1 species